UCUCGGCCAUUUGACCUUAGAACUGAAGAAGCUUCUCGGAUGAGAGGUGAAACGUCUUCAAGCAACUUAAAGAAGUCCAGACGCCUUUCUUUGCAAACUCCUUUGACUUCCAUUUACAAAGCACCAACAACUCAAAGGAGCUGCCCUCAGAUUCAGACCUCAGCACCACCCAGUGAAAGCAGACAGAUCAUUCAACAUGUUCACGUUAACUCCAAAAUUAACUGAUGAAAGCUGCAGCUGUUUUAUUGAUAAAGUCAAAAGGAUUAAUCACCCCUGUCACUGUCACUAUAUAUCAGCAGUCUGGUGUUUCAGAAAGCUGCUAUCUGAGACCUGUAGAGGUUCUGUUUUAAACACUGAAUGCACUCAGCCACAUGAAGAGCACAUGAGAUUUUCCCUGACACACUUAAAUAAAACCUGAUGAAGGUUAACUAAAAA